CCAUCAAUAAGGACUGACGGAUACCGAGCAGCUGUAACUUCCUUGGCCAGCGUCUCCCGUAUGUCUUCGGCAAUCUGCCCAAUCAUUUCUGCGCACCUUACAUCGUUAUCAUGAUUACUUGAGGGCAAGACAAAAGAUGAGGGCAUCUCUGCACUGUGAGACCAAUGAUUUACAGUCAGAACAUGACGAUGGGAACAGAAAAGAGAAAGUCGAAUGAUGACUCUGAUAGCAGUAUCAAGCCCCAUUUGUUCCUCAGCAACUCAUCUAAAUCCUCAACCAUCAAAGAGUGGAUUUGAGGGACAUACUUCAGCUGCUGAUUUUCAGAUGAUUGUAGAAGCCCUUACUUUCAAGCCCACAUUCAGGUUUGGGAGUGGUUACGACCCUAUCCCCUGCACUCCUAAGCCUUUUACAUUUUUAUCCAUCCAAAAUGUUUUAAUACAUGCAUUGGCAUUGUCCCUCUGAUUUGCAGUGGGCUCCAGAAUUACUGGCACCCCUGAAUGGCGAUGUACAAAAAAAUAAAAAUUGUGUUACUCAAAGUGGCAUGUGAAAAAUACUGUACUUCAUUCAUGUU